rnacentral:tRNA from 1 species
CAAAAAAUAAUUUAAUUAGAAUAUUAAUUUUGGAGAUUAAAAGUAUAAUAAUAAUUUAAUUUAUUUUUUUGA